rnacentral:lncRNA from 1 species
GCAGAAAAUCAGAGACACAGUAACUAGCAGCCAAGCCAGCUGCUAACUCAAGUGAAAAUGCAAGCCAGCUAGCAAGGGCUGAACAUUGCAGCAAGAGAGCAUUAUUUUAUUCCUCUUGAAACAUUUUUUGGAGGUGUAAAUCAGUGAAUUCUAUUCUACCCCACUUUAAAGCUGAAAAAGGAACUACAGAGGAAUCCUCAGUUUUGGGUCAGGGUUGUUGAGUUGUGAUGGCAGCAGGAUCUCAGCCCUGGGAAAGAUUACAAUCUCAUUAUUAGUCAAGAGGAAGCAGGAAAGGGAAAGCUUGUAACAAAUGAGGUACAAAAGUGAAACAGGAGAUAAUUAUUAAUUGAAUUACUAUUUUAAGGUGAGGUCACACACGACUACAAACAAAAUUUCAAUGUAGAAAUCUGUAUGAGUAACACUAAAACAGUCCAACUGAUAAAAUAUUUUAACUAAUGUAAGACUUUCCUCAAGAAUUUUACUCAUAUGUAUUUAUAUAG